GGUGGUGCAUGGUUGUCGUCAGCUCGUGUCGUGAGAUGUUGGGUUAAGUCCCGCAACGAGCGCAACCCUUGUGUUUAGUUGCAAACAGGUCAAGCUGUGCACUCUAGACAGACUGCCGUGGACAACACGGAGGAAGGUGGGGAUGACGUCAAAUCAUCAUGCCCCUUAUGAUCUGGGCUACACACGUGCUACAAUGGCCGGUACAACGGGCAGCGAAGGAGCGAUCCGGAGCGAAUCCUAAAAAGCCGGUCCCAGUUCGGAUUGCAGGCUGAAACUCGCCUACAUGAAGUUGGAGUUGCUAGUAAUCGCGAAUCAGAAUGUCGCGGUGAAUGCGUUCCCGGGUCUU
rnacentral:rRNA from 1 species